UUAAUAUUCCAAGAGAAGCAGAGACAAGAGAGGGAGAGAGUACUGAAUGUGGUCGAGGUCUCAGUUCCAGUGGUUUCUGAGGCCAAAAUGCACCUCUUUCCUUCUGGUAAUUUCAUGAGCUCUGGAUAUCACUGCUUGGAGAAAUCUGUACCUUGACAAGAGCAGAGGACAACAUAUGCAAAAGCCAGAGAAGGCCUGCUUGGAGAAGAAAGAGACAAUAAUGAGAAGGCUAGAGAAGAGCAGAGUAUGCCCUGACUGUGACUUUGGAUGAAGCUAUUGAGUCCUGUUUCCCUGGGAUUCCGUCCAGAGCCCUCAGUUCUGACGUCCUGAGGUAUUUGGAGAGGCCAAGGUCAACAUGAGCAAUUCUGAGUUUCAGAGAAAGUUUAUUUCUCUAAUGGUUUGUGU
rnacentral:lncRNA from 1 species